GAUCCCUGCCUACCUGAGGCCUUCCAAAGGUCUCUCCUUUUCUCUGAAAAACUACUUCAUAGGAAUGUGCUGAGCCUGGAGGCAGCUGUUUGCAUCUGAGGAAAGGCUCUCAAAAUGAGUUUGACAGCUGCACUUCUUCUGGAAGAAGUCACUCAUGCGAAGUUAUUCCUGCUCAUGGAUUCUUAUCUUCCAAGACCAGAGCAGAAUUUACUUCAAACUCAGAUCACCUUUCCUGCUAGGCUUGUGUCACUUCUUCUCCCACACGCCAGCCUUUUUGGAACUGCUUUUAGAUUCCUGUAACUAAAGUGCAUAUUGUAAAGCUGUGUUAUUGUUGCUCUUCAUUUCCCCCUCCUACAUACAUGAAAUUCUAACAUGCAAUCAAGCAGCCAACCCCAGGACCACUAUGCGUAAUGCUC